CCUACGGGAGGCAGCAGUGGGGAAUUUUGGACAAUGGGCGAAAGCCUGAUCCAGCAAUGCCGCGUGAGUGAAGAAGGCCUUCGGGUUGUAAAGCUCUUUUGUCAGGGAAGAAACGGUGAAAGCUAAUAUCUUUUGCUAAUGACGGUACCUGAAGAAUAAGCACCGGCUAACUACGUGCCAGCAGCCGCGGUAAUACGUAGGGUGCAAGCGUUAAUCGGAAUUACUGGGCGUAAAGCGUGCGCAGGCGGUUUUGUAAGUCUGAUGUGAAAUCCCCGGGCUCAACCUGGGAAUUGCAUUGGAGACUGCAAGGCUAGAAUCUGGCAGAGGGGGGUAGAAUUCCACGUGUAGCAGUGAAAUGCGUAGAUAUGUGGAGGAACACCGAUGGCGAAGGCAGCCCCCUGGGUCAAGAUUGACGCUCAUGCACGAACGACGGUGGGGAGGACGAAACGAAGGAGUUAGUAGUACCGUACGGUACGUACCGACCGACCCGUAAACCGAACGUAGUCUACUUAGUUGUUCGGGUUCGUUAAUUAGUACGUUGGUUAACGU
rnacentral:rRNA from 1 species